CUUUUACAAUGAAGAGUUUGAUCCUGGCUCAGGAUGAACGCUAGCUACAGGCUUAACACAUGCAAGUCGAGGGGCAGCAUUUCAGUUUGCUUGCAAACUGGAGAUGGCGACCGGCGCACGGGUGAGUAACACGUAUCCAACCUGCCGAUAACUCGGGGAUAGCCUUUCGAAAGAAAGAUUAAUACCCGAUGGUAUAAUCAGACCGCAUGGUUUUAUUAUUAAAGAAUUUCGGUUAUCGAUGGGGAUGCGUUCCAUUAGGCAGUUGGUGAGGUAACGGCUCACCAAACCUUCGAUGGAUAGGGGUUCUGAGAGGAAGGUCCCCCACAUUGGAACUGAGACACGGUCCAAACUCCUACGGGAGGCAGCAGUGAGGAAUAUUGGUCAAUGGGCGCAGGCCUGAACCAGCCAAGUAGCGUGAAGGAUGACUGCCCUAUGGGUUGUAAACUUCUUUUAUAUGGGAAUAAAGUUUUCCACGUGUGGAAUUUUGUAUGUACCAUAUGAAUAAGGAUCGGCUAACUCCGUGCCAGCAGCCGCGGUAAUACGGAGGAUCCGAGCGUUAUCCGGAUUUAUUGGGUUUAAAGGGAGCGUAGGUGGACAGUUAAGUCAGUUGUGAAAGUUUGCGGCUCAACCGUAAAAUUGCAGUUGAUACUGGCUGUCUUGAGUACAGUAGAGGUGGGCGGAAUUCGUGGUGUAGCGGUGAAAUGCUUAGAUAUCACGAAGAACUCCGAUUGCGAAGGCAGCUCACUGGACUGCAACUGACACUGAUGCUCGAAAGUGUGGGUAUCAAACAGGAUUAGAUACCCUGGUAGUCCACACAGUAAACGAUGAAUACUCGCUGUUUGCGAUAUACAGUAAGCGGCCAAGCGAAAGCAUUAAGUAUUCCACCUGGGGAGUACGCCGGCAACGGUGAAACUCAAAGGAAUUGACGGGGGCCCGCACAAGCGGAGGAACAUGUGGUUUAAUUCGAUGAUACGCGAGGAACCUUACCCGGGCUUAAAUUGCAUUUGAAUAAUCUGGAAACAGGUUAGCCGCAAGGCAAAUGUGAAGGUGCUGCAUGGUUGUCGUCAGCUCGUGCCGUGAGGUGUCGGCUUAAGUGCCAUAACGAGCGCAACCCUUAUCUUUAGUUACUAACAGGUCAUGCUGAGGACUCUAGAGAGACUGCCGUCGUAAGAUGUGAGGAAGGUGGGGAUGACGUCAAAUCAGCACGGCCCUUACGUCCGGGGCUACACACGUGUUACAAUGGGGGGUACAGAAGGCAGCUACCUGGUGACAGGAUGCUAAUCCCAAAAGCCUCUCUCAGUUCGGAUCGAAGUCUGCAACCCGACUUCGUGAAGCUGGAUUCGCUAGUAAUCGCGCAUCAGCCAUGGCGCGGUGAAUACGUUCCCGGGCCUUGUACACACCGCCCGUCAAGCCAUGAAAGCCGGGGGUACCUGAAGUACGUAACCGCAAGGAGCGUCCUAGGGUAAAACUGGUAAUUGGGGCUAAGUCGUAACAAGGUAGCCGUACCGGAAGGUGCGGCUGGAACACCUCCUUU
rnacentral:rRNA from 1 species